CUCAAGCUCGUAAGCUACCUUUUUGAAAUGGUUGAGAAUUUGGAAAGGACUGACAUAUCGAGGACUGAAUUUCCCCUUCUUUCCAAACCUCUUCACUUUUUUUAUAAGAGAGAUUUUUAGAUACACAAAAUCAUUAUUCUGUAACUCAAUAUCAUUUACUGUACACGCAUGAACAGGAACAUGAGAACAUAAUGAGCCUAAAAUGGAUAUAUUGACUGAGUAUCUUUGGUUAAACUGAGCCCUUGAAUACAUGGCUUACGACUGAGAUUGGAACUUGAGGGUCAACCUAUGAGUACCCACUAUUCCAAUUAAAUUUGUUAUGUGUGGAGAAGCUGGGGAAUUUAUGGCAUGAAAGCUCAGGUAUUAUAGUGCAUCUCCCCCUUGGGACAUUAUGUCCCUCAAAGAAUACUAACUUGGCUGAGAUUCUGAGGAAAAGCUGAAACGAUGCACCGGGCACCUAUGAACUGAGUCGUAACUGAGUAUCUCGAAUCCAAAAUCGAGACAUGAUACAUGAAUUGAGCUUAUCACGCAACUACCUGGUUGCCCUAUCUUGGAACUAUUACGUUCAUAAGACUUCGAAUAGUGUGACUAGUGGGGAAAGUUGGGAGACCAAGCCAUAUGAAUUUGUCCGCCUGAUUGCUAAACAGAAUUUCUAGCUUUACGAACUAACUUGUGCUGAAAACUCAUGCUCGACUGGAGCAUUUCCUUGACACUCUUUCUAUAGAGUUUCUAGUGACUUUAGGGAGUAAAAAAUCUUUGCCUAGGCUAAAUAAAACGUCUAAAAAAGAAGUCACAUUCUAGCUAAAUUUUUGUAAUAUAUGGUGAGGCCUACGAAACCUCAUCUAAGAUAGAGUGACUAAGCCUCAUACACUGCAACUAAGAUUUUCAAACUUAGACAUAUCCCUUGGAUACCCUUUCAACUAUACUUUCCACCUUAGCACGGCACUCUACCUGAUACUACUGAAAAUAUUCACAUGGGCACUGAGCAUGAAUGCAUGAACAUACUGUCUUAUCUGAUUAAUUGAACGGCUGAUAGAUGAAUACUGGUUAUGCAAGAUUGAACUAUUCUUAGUCUAAAUUACUAGGCUGAAACUGUAGAGUAUUAAGCAUAUAAGGUAAGGAUCGACUAAGUAACAUAAGACAACUAAACAUAAAUUUAUGGAGGAUUAUAUUAUUUAAAAGUGCAAGAACAAGCGUAUAACAUGAUUCCUAAAUAGUUUGUAAACUGAGGUUCUAAAAUAUUGAUAUCUAAAUAACUAAUAAUUGUAUGCUAUGGUCAAGCAAACCUGAAACUGAACUGAGUUACUAAUUUAAUUGCUAGAAUGGGACUGGGACCGUAACUAAGACGGUAGGUGAGACUGUAAUUGAGACUGUAAUUGGGACUCAUACUAUAACAUGAGGAAUAGAGAACAUUCUAAAUACCUCGUAUCCUGCGACUUAUAAGUAUGGCAUGUUACACACCCAUAAAAGAGACUCUACUGACACGACUUCGUAGACACCCUAGGGUAUUGAACCAUGCUCUAAUACCAAGCUUAUCACGACUCAAGCUGAUGCCUUGUUCUUGAUGGGCAUCCCAAACCAUGAAGGCUCGAGAGACCCCUUAGUAUGCUAUCAUAAGUAGAAUUCAUUCAAAAAAUAUGGAAUUAUAUCAUAAGGUUUUCAAUAAGUCUAUUAAACAAUCUCUUAAAAUAAAUUCACAACAUAACACAUACAAAGAUCUAGUUUAUGAUACCCUUACUCUUGAGUAGAUGUCUAGGGUAGGACAAGGCCCUCAGUCAGACCAUAAAACUAAAAGAAAUUGAAAUCAUAAAUAAAGUACUUUAAAAAAUGAAGGGUUCACCAACUCUAAAGCUGGUAGAAAUCCUAGUAUUGUGUUGGACCACGAGACUGAGCCUCAAAACCUACAUUAUGAGACAAUGACAUACCAGAGGACGGUCAAUACUUGAAAUUUAUUAGUAUGCAUAACAAUCCAAAAAUAAUUCAACAUAUAUUUAUACGAAAUAAAGAAAAGCAUUUUGAAAAAAAUUGACAAAAUAGAAAUCAAAACACAUGGACAUAUCUAAAAGCUUCAAUAAGUCUUUUAAGGACAUAAACUUAACCAUUUUCUUUACUUUUGAACUAUAUGGCAUCUCCAACUUUUGUACUACCCACGAGCUAUAUGGGUCCGACUUUAACUCAUUGGCCAAUCUUUCAAUUUGAGUUUUCCAUAGGGAUUGGAAUCUCUAUUUUCUAUUCGAGUAUACCAGUGCUGAGUCAAGUAUGCAUUGACCAUCCACAUAUCAGGAUUGAGCCAAUUUUUUUGCAUCAAUAAAACACUAUUUUGGAUUGUAAGCUUCUCAACUCACGCCAUCUUGAUUAACCAUCUAACUCUCUUAAAGCCCAUUAUAACCUUUUAAAAUCAUACUUCAUUCUUAUAAAAAUUUAUUUCUUGUUCUUUUAAGGGCAUUUCGUAAAAGGCAUCAUCUUACCUAGACUUGAAAGCUGUAUUAUAUCAUAUCCUAUCCAUAGUCCUUCUUUCAAAAACAUCUAUCACUGACCACCAUCAUAAUUCCAAUAUCAAACAAAAGUUCUUAUUUCAAAAAUGGAUAUAAAAUUUUAAAAGCAAAACUUUUUCCCUUUCAAGACUUAACUCUUCGGUAGUCAUGUUCUUUCAUAGCUCAUACAUAUUUCAUAGAAAAUAAGAGCAUUUAAAAUACCCAAGAUACUCUACAUAUUCAUAUAAUUAAACAACACAUAAUUCAACAAAAAAAUGUAUGAAGCAUUAACCUUUUGCUUUGUUCACUUAGAAACCCAUAUGUUGAUGUUGUUUAUUGUACUAACUCUAAACCUCAUGUCAUGAGGAUGUGGUGCUUGUUUUUCUUUUCUUCGUUCUUGAAAGGUUUGGAUUCUAGGUUGAAUCCUUUUCAAGAAGGGGAGGAUGAUACAAGUCAAAUAGCCACCCUAACUUUGGAAGACAUGAUUGGAGACCAUCAUUUAAAGGCUCAAGACUUGGUCACCCCGAGGGCACAAGAAUAUGUAAUGAACACCCAUUUUGAGCCUACCAUUGAGCAUACUAUUCAUCAAGGCCGUGAGUGGAAGGUUGCUUGGAGCAUUGAAGACUCGAGGAUUCAUGGUUUUGGAGACUUAAUAGCUCACGAUUUUGGGCCAUCUUCAUUGAGGGCAUUUGGGUCACUUCACUUUGCCCAAAAUGUACUCCAUGGCCACCCCUCUCAUUAAGGAUAGUGUAGUCAUUUAUCUUCUUUUGUAAUGUAAUAUAAAUAGAACAAGAUAAGGUUUUUAGGACUUAGUUGUUUAUUGAUGUAAGACUUGAAACAUGAAACACCUUUAGUUGUAGGUCUUAGAAUAGCCACCAUACUAAAAUAAGGGCAACAAGUGUGGAUAUCACUUGUGUUGCAAUGUUGGCUUGAUACGUUGGUGCUUAGAAGAGGUAAAGUUCCUCUUGUAUCAAUGUAGGAGUUAGUUUAACCAUUGUUUAUAGUGUUAAGGGUCCAAGAGUAUCAUAUGUUCUUGGGUUCUUAAGAUUAUACCAACCAAGGUCCAACGAUCUAUCAAUUUUGUUUAUGUUGUAAUCGUUUAUUUGUGUUCUUAUAAUCCAUACCCGUGACUUGUUGUUCUUGUUCCAUUGUUGUUGUUCUUCAUCUUGUUGUUGUUAACAUCAUUUGUUGUUGGCUAUUUUUUGGUGUUAAAUACCACAAUACAUUGUAUUCUUGUUGUUGCUUGUUGAAUCCGAGAGGGGUCAUCUAAAAGGGUCCACGGUUUCCUUGACUAGUAGACUAUUUUGGGUGUUUGUUUUGUGUUUCCUAGUCCUUCUUUUAUCAUUUGGUAUCAGAGAAUGACUUGAUCUUGUUCCCACAAGAUCAAUCUUGGACUCGUAAACUUGAAAAUUAAAAAAAUUGUUGAAAAAAAAAAUUGAAAAUUCUAGAAAAAGGAUGAAAUAUGUCCAUCUUUUUGUUCUUGGCCAAAAGUUGUUGUUCUUGAGAAGUUGUCUUGGCCAAGAUUUGUACUUGAUCUAGUAGAUUUUUAUUUGUAUAGUGUGUUUCUUGUGUUGGUUUUUUUCUCACUAACACAAAAGGUCUCUAGAUCUAAAAUUGAGCUUAUAAUAUUGACCUUGUUGUUGUGAACUUGAAGUGGCCGUGUGUUAUGAUUUAAAGUUGGCCGUGUGCUAUGCCUUUUUGUUAAAGAUUGGAGGACAUUGUUUGUGUGUUAUUGGAAGUUUGUUUUUGUGUUCAUAUGGUUCUUCAUAUCUUCUCAUACUUAAACCAACAAAAAGUGCAAAUAGAUUCAAAAGGAGUGGGGAUAAAAGUUGUAAAGUGUGCUUGUGAGAAGACUUGAGCUAUCACUUCCUAGACUUGCCAUCAACUUUUUCAACUACUAUCCUUAAAUCAAGGAGCUUUGUUUGGUGGAACUAUUACAAGUCAAGAUCAUCUUUUUGAGAUUAAACUUACAAAGGACUCGAGACUUAUACUUUUCCUCCAAAUACAAUUGUCUUCCAUUCCAAAUUGUGUAAAAAUUGAAAUUUCAAAUUUGUGAUUAAAGUUGUGUAGGACCGAGACCAAUUACAUGUUGCCACAUCACCUUAAUUACUGUUCAUCAUCAAUAUUAAGAUCAAAUUUGGAUUUUCCUAGUUUCGAAUUAUUGAUUCUUGGUUUCAUUAGUUGAUCCUAGAACUAAUUAACAAAAUAGUAAACUCCUACUAGAUUGUCAAUUAGUCCUUUGCGUCCAUUAUUCGUAUCGAUAAAACACCAUGCUUAUUGUCAUGCCCAAAUUAGAUUCACAAAAGUGCAACUUUCGAUUUUCCUCUAUGAAGAAAAAAGGAAUUUAUGACUUGUUUAGAAAUGUCAUCUUUUUUUAUUUAGAAAAAAAAUUUUAAGGUCCCUAGUUGUAGAUCGAGUUGCCAGAUGAUUAACUUGAAAGAUAGACCCAACAUUCAGGUCCAAGUCCUUGUUAAUGUAUGUAGAGAAAAUUCUGUAGGGUGACAUUAAGUGUUCAAAGUAAAAUUAGUGUCAAAUUUGACUAGACCAAGUCAAAUCUUUUUAAAAUUAGUAAUUAAGUUAAAUUGACGUACAAAUGUAAUUCUUAAAACUCUUACACUUCAAAAAUUCAAAACUAGCUCAAUCAAAAAGCAUAUUUCGCUUUACCAACAUUUUCAAUUUAGUCUCACAAUUUGUUUUCUCUUUCUCUAGAACAAAACUUCUUUUCUCCUCUUGAUAUCGACGAUAACAAUUGACUCAAUCAAUACUUUCGCUUCUCUCAAGUACUACCACGACAACAAUCUAUUCUCUUGCUUUUCUGACCUCAAGUUAUCAUCGUCGUGAUCGUCUCUGGGUUUCUCUCAACUCUGACCUCAAGUUGCCAUUGUCUUGUGUUUCCAUCGCCAUCAAAAUCAUUGUCUCCAUCUCCGACCUUAAGUUAAAUUUCGAUUCUCCAAGACCAAUACAAUCAGAUUGUAAUGCUGCUUAACAAAGGGAAAGAUGAGAAGGAUUCCACCCUACCUGCAGCAAAUGCAGUAUCUCACUCUUUACAGAAUAAGGUGUACCUUUCUAUAGUUAGUGAGGUUGCAGUGUCUCACAAAGGUACUUCUUUGUGCUAAAUAAUUCCUCAAUUUCUGAUGUUCUAUAGUUGUCUGAGUUUAAAUAUUAUCUUUUAUCUGUAUCAAAGCUGACUAGGGAAUUACUGUGUUCAGUGGGAUUCUUUCCUUCUUUCCUGACUUCUCAAUAUUCCAGGAUCUCUAUACUAGUAUGGUGCUGGGAUUGGUAGAGAAGAUCAGGGUCAAUAUAUUCUCAAAAGAAGUUCUAUUCCCCAAAGUUGUGUAAAUAAAUAUGCUUAUACUGUGUAGUUGUCCUCCAUGUCCAGUGUCCUUUGGCACAAAAAAAAAUGGGACAUGCUCCUAUUGAAGUGCUCAAGAAACAUACAGCACUAAGCCAUCUGAAGGAUAAAGAUCAUGUGUGUAGUUUGUGUCCCCUUGCUAAACAUGCCAAGCUAAAUUUUCAGUCUAGCAUUUCUAUAUCCAAGGCUCCUUUUGCUCUAGUACAUUUUGAUAUAUGGUGUCCUUAUAGAGUACCUACCUACAAUAACAAAAGGUUUUUUUGUUACUAUAGUGGAUGAUUACUCUA